rnacentral:rRNA from 1 species
UACGUAGGGGGCGAGCGUUGUCCGGAUUUAUUGGGCGUAAAGAGCGUGUAGGCGGCUUGGUAGGUCUGCUGUGAAAACUCGGGGCUCAACCCCGAGACGUCGGUGGAAACCACCUGGCUAGAGUCCGGAAGAGGAGAGUGGAAUUCCUGGUGUAGCGGUGAAAUGCGCAGAUAUCAGGAAGAAUAUCCGUGGCGAAGGCGGCUCGCUGGGACGGUACUGACGCUGAGACGCGAAAGCGUGGGGAGCGAACAGG